rnacentral:misc_RNA from 1 species
GAUGAAGAACGUAGCGAAAUGCGAAAAGUAGUGUGAAUUGCAGAAUUCAGUGAAUCAUCGAAUCUUUGAACGCACAUUGCGCCCGCCAGUAUUCUGGCGGGCAUGCCUGUCUGAGCGUCAUUUCAACCCUCACGCCCCUAGGGCGUGGUGUUGGGGAUCGGCCAGCGCCCUCGCGGGCGAGGCCGUCCCCUAAAUCUAGUGGCGGACCCGUCGUGGCCUCCCCUGCGAAGUAGUGAUAUUCCGCAUAGGAGAACGACGAGCCCCUGCCGUUAAACCCCCAACUUUCUCAGGUUGACCUCAGAUCAGGUAGGAAUACCCGCUGAACUUAAGCAUAUCAAUAAGCGGAGGA